rnacentral:rRNA from 1 species
UAGGGAAUCUUCCACAAUGGACGAAAGUCUGAUGGAGCAACGCCGCGUGAGUGAAGAAGGGUUUCGGCUCGUAAAACUCUGUUGUUAAAGAAGAACAUAUCUGAGAGUAACUGUUCAGGUAUUGACGGUAUUUAACCAGAAAGUCACGGCUAACUACGNGCCAG